rnacentral:rRNA from 1 species
GACGAACGCUGGCGGCGUGCUUAACACAUGCAAGUCGAACGGAAAGGCCUCUUUCGUGGGGUACUCGAGUGGCGAACGGGUGAGUAACACGUGAGUAAACUGCCCUUGACUUUGGGUUAACUUCCGUAAACUGGGGGGAGUACCGGAUAGAAGCUCCUGCGACAUGGAUGGGGUUGGAGAGUUUCGGCGGUUGGGGGUGGCCUCGCGACUUAUCAGCUUGGUGUUGGGGUAGUGGCUUACCAACGGUUUGACGGGUAGCCGGACUGUGAGAGUGACAGGCGACACUGGGACUGACAGGCGGCACAGACUCCUACGGGAGGCAGAAGUGGGGAAGACUGCAGAAGCGGUGGAAGCCGGAUGAAGCAACGCCGUGUGCCGGAUGACGGUCUUCGGGUUGAAAAACGCAUUCGUUCAUGACGAAGCAUUGUGUGACGGUAGUGGGUAAAGAAGCACCGGCUAACUACGUG